GCCCCUGUAGUUCAAUGGAUUAGAACGUACCCGUCCUAAGGGUUUGAUGGAGGUCCGAUUCCUCCCGGGGGCACCA
rnacentral:tRNA from 1 species